rnacentral:rRNA from 1 species
AGCGAACGCUGGCGGCAGGCCUAACACAUGCAAGUCGAACGAACUCUUCGGAGUUAGUGGCGGACGGGUGAGUAACACGUGGGAACGUGCCUUUAGGUUCGGAAUAACUCAGGGAAACUUGUGCUAAUACCGAAUGUGCCCUUCGGGGGAAAGAUUUAUCGCCUUUAGAGCGGCCCGCGUCUGAUUAGCUAGUUGGUGAGGUAAAGGCUCACCAAGGCGACGAUCAGUAGCUGGUCUGAGAGGAUGAUCAGCCACAUUGGGACUGAGACACGGCCCAAACUCCUACGGGAGGCAGCAGUGGGGAAUCUUGCGCAAUGGGAGAAAGACUGACGCAGCCAUGCCGCGUGAAUGAUGAAGGUCUUAGGAUUGUAAAAUUCUUUCACCGGGGACGAUAAUGACGGUACCCGGAGAAGAAGCCCCGGCUAACUUCGUG